UUGCAGCCAUAUCACAUUGAAACCCUGAUUCUUGUCCAAUCACUCAAGUUAAGCAAUGUUGAACCUGGUCAGUACCUGGAUGGGUGACCAUUUGGGAAUACCAGGUGUUGUAAA